AUUGAACGCUGGCGGCAGGCCUAACACAUGCAAGUCGAGCGGAUGAAGGGAGCUUGCUCCUGGAUUCAGCGGCGGACGGGUGAGUAAUGCCUAGGAAUCUGCCUGGUAGUGGGGGAUAACGUCCGGAAACGGGCGCUAAUACCGCAUACGUCCUGAGGGAGAAAGUGGGGGAUCUUCGGACCUCACGCUAUCAGAUGAGCCUAGGUCGGAUUAGCUAGUUGGUGGGGUAAAGGCCUACCAAGGCGACGAUCCGUAACUGGUCUGAGAGGAUGAUCAGUCACACUGGAACUGAGACACGGUCCAGACUCCUACGAGAGGCAGCAGUGUGGAAUAUUGGACAAUAGGCGAAAGCCUGAUCCAGCCAUGCCGCGUGUGUGAAGAAGGUCUUCGGAUUGUAAAGCACUUUAAGUUGGGAGGAAGGGCAGUAAGUUAAUACCUUGCUGUUUUGACGUUACCAACAGAAUAAGCACCGGCUAACUUCGUG
rnacentral:rRNA from 1 species